CCCUCAGAGAAGCGAAGCGCGGAGGAGCCGAAAAUUGGGUUUUUCGACCCAAAAAUGAGGCAAAAAAAGGGAAAAAAAGGAAAAAACAAAACCAAAUUUCUGCUUUAUUGAACGCGACGCCGGGAAAAAAGACCGUGAAGUUACCGGUUAUGGGGGAAAUAGGGGGAAAAACGGGGGGGAGGCUCCGAAAAAAGACGAAAAACGUAAAAAAACCGGUUUUUCCCCCAAAAAACAAGAACGAGGGGAUAAAUAAUGGGGAGAAAAAGAGCGAAAUUGGGCAAUUUUGGGGGGAUUUGGGGCUUUUUUGGGGGGGUUUUUGAGAGAAUCGGGGGUUUUGGGGUGAAUUCGGGGGAAAUUGGGAAAAUUGGUGGGUUUUAUAAUUCAAAUGGGGUUUUAUGGGAGGAUUUGAGGAAUUGGAGGCGAUUUUGGGGCAAUUUGGGGCCAUUUUGGGCCCUUUUACUGUCUUUUAGGGGACUUUAAAGCAUGGGAAUGAUUUGGGGUGAAAAAGGCCAAAUUUGGGCAAAUUCUGUGGAGAAAAUUGAUAUUUUUGGGAUCCUUUUGAUGUCUUCUGGGAUUUGGGGCCAUUUUGGGUCAAUUUUGGUCAAUUUGGGGCCAUUUUGGUGCAUUUUUGGCUUUAUUAGAGGCCUAUGAAGCAUGGGAAUGUUUUGGGUUAAAACAGCCCAAAUUUGGGCAAAUUCUGUGGAGAAAAUUGAUAUUUCUGGGACCCUUGUGGUGUCUUCUGGGAUCUGGGGCCAUUUUGGGUCAAUUUGGGGCCAUUUUGGUGCAUUUUUGGCUUUAUUAGAGGCCUAUGAAGCAUGGAAAUGUUUUGGGUUAAAACAGCCCAAAUUUGGGCAAAUUCUGUGGAGAAAAUUGACAUUUUUAGGACCCUUGUGGUGUCUUCUGAGAUUUGGGGCCAUUUUGGGGCAAUUUUGGGCCAUUUUUAGUUCAUUUUGGGGCAAUUUGGGGCCUUUUAGAGGGUUCUGAAGCCUGGGAAUGUUUUGGGUUAAAACAGCCCAAAUUUGGGCAAAUUCUGUGGAGAAAAUGGGCAUUUUUGGGACCCUUGUGGUGUCUUGUGGGAUUUGGGGCCAUUUUGGGUCAAUUUUGGGCCAUUUUGGGUCAAUUUUGGGCCCUUUUAGCGACUUUUAGGGGACUUUAAAGCAUGGGAAUGUUUUGGGUUAAAACAGCCCAAAUUUGGGCAAAUUCUGUGGAGAAAAUGGGCAUUUUUGGGAUCCUUGUGGUGUCUUCUGAGAUUUGGGGCCAUUUUGGGUCAAUUUGGGUCCAUUUUGGGUCAAUUUUGGUCCAUUUUGGGUCAAUUUGGGGCGUUUUAGUGACUCUUCUUUAAUGGCGGGGGGUUGUAUCUAUAGGGAGAGUUUUUGGGGUGAAAAAGGCCAAAUUUGGGAAAAUUCUGUGGAGAAAAUUGAUAUUUUUAGGACCCUUGUGGUGUCUUCUGAGAUUUGGGGCCAUUUUGGGUCAAUUUUGGUCAAUUUUGAGCCAUUUUGGUGCAUUUUGGGCCCUUUUAGAGGGCUCUGAAGCCUGGGAAUAUUUUGGGUUAAAACAGCCCAAAUUUGGGCAAAUUCUGUGGAAAAAAUGGGUAUUUUUGGGACCCUUGUGGUGUCUUCUGGGAUUUGGGGCCAUUUUGGGGCAAUUUUGGGCCAUUUUGGUGCAUUUUUGGCCCUUUUAGAGGGCUCUGAAGUAUGGGAAUGUUUUGGGUUAAAACAGCCCAAAUUUGGGCAAAUUCUGUGGAGAAAAUGGGCAUUUUUGGGACCCUCAUGUUAUCUUAUGGGAAUUGGGAUAAUUUUGGACCAUUUUUAGUUCAUUUUGGGGCAAUUUGGGGCCUUUUAGAGGGUUCUGAAACCUGGGAAUGAUUUGGGGUGAAAAAGGCCAAAUUUGGGCAAAUUCUGUGGAGAAAAUUGAUAUUUUUGGGACCCUUGUGGUGUCUUCUGGGAUUUGGGGCCAUUUUGGGUCAAUUUGGGGCCAUUUUGGUGCAUUUUUGGCUUUAUUAGAGGCCUAUGAAGCAUGGGAAUGUUUUGGGUUAAAACAGCCCAAAUUUGGGCAAAUUCUGUGGAGAAAAUUGAUAUUUUUGGGACCCUUGUGGUGUCUUCUGGGAUUUGGGUCAAUUUUGGGCCAUUUUUAGUUCAUUUUGGGGCAAUUUGGGCCCUUUUAGAGGGUUCUGAAGCAUAGUUAAUUUUUGGGGUGAAAAAGGCCAAAUUUGGGCAAAUUCUGUGGA